rnacentral:rRNA from 1 species
UACGUAGGUGACAAGCGUUGUCCGGAUUUACUGGGCGUAAAGAGCGCGCAGGCGGUCGUUCAAGUCGAGUGUGAAAGCCCCCGGCUCAACUGGGGAGGGUCACUCGAUACUGAUCGACUUGAAGGCAGGAGAGGGAAGCGGAAUUCCCGGUGUAGUGGUGAAAUGCGUAGAUAUCGGGAGGAACACCAGUGGCGAAAGCGCUCUGCUAGGCCGCAACUGACACUGAGGGACGAAAGCUAGGGGAGCGAAUGGG